UGGAUUGUUAAUAGGGCAGGUGCCAGAAAAUAAAGCGAGUAGAUAACAGAGAGGAUGCCGGGAGCAGUUGAACUGUGAUUUUUCGAAAAUUUUAAGGAUCUUUUUUCUAGUUGCUUAAAUUUUCCCGCUCGACAGCAAUGAACCCUUACAAAAUUCGGACACAAGUUCUGUGUUCGUUUGUGCCUUAAAAAAGCAAGAACUUAUGUUUGAGAAAAAAUAUUCAAAGUAAAAAACAACAAUCAUGGAGGAGCCUGUCGAAGAACAACAACCUACUGUUCAAAAUUCUGGGAGUGCAGAGAAUUCGAAGCUACGUUAUCCACUUCGAUCGUCAACGAAAUCAAAGGAGGAGAAGCCAACGACGCGUGAUUUAUCCAAUUCUUCUUCAUCCACAAGGGGGAGGGCAACACCAAGUGUUAGCAAGAGAGUGAAAUCAGCCAAGCCACCCAGAAGGCUCUCUAUUCCGACCAAAUCAACUGUGACUCCAUCUCCGAAAUUCGUCGGGAUAAUCAAUCCUAUAUCUGAGGCUAGAGCCAAGAAAUCUACAAAUGGUCAGGGCAAAAGUGACACACCUCUUUCUGAUGCUUCUAGGUCGGCAACUCGAGGGAGGUUCAAUGUUCUGUCAUCAGCUCCAUACUGGCUGUCGCAGAUUAAGCUCUCUGAAUCAGCAUCUAAGCAUUCAGUCUCAAUUGGGUUUUUCAAACUGGCCUUUGAAGCGGGAUGUGAGCCCUUUCAGAAAAUGCAUGAUGAGCUAAAAUCAUAUGUACGUCGCCAUAAUCUUGGUGAAAGUGGGGAAGCUAUAAAGGAACUACUUGAAAUCUACAAUGUUUCAGCAAAUUCAGAUCAGCCACAGGUGUCUGAAACCUGUUCUCUGGUGCCCGAGGAGGGGACUCGGUCAUCUGAUGAUGAGGUUCACAGCGUUUCUUCUGCAGAGGGAUCGAGGAAAGUGAAACCCAAGUCCCUGAAUAAUGAUGCUGCUCAAGUAUCAUCCGUGGCCAAAUCAGCAAAAGAGGCCACUCCAAAGAAUAAUCCUGCAACUAGGAAUAAGGUUUUGAACAAGAACAGUUCAAAUUCAAGGUCUGCUUCAGACAUCGGAUGCCGUAAGUUACAGAAGAGAACCAAGUCAGAGCCUGUUAAAGGAAAGGACAAGACUAAGAGUCCGGCAACCAAAUUACCUAAUCAAGAAGGUCAAGUUAGUCCUUCAGCUGCAGGAGUGACUGCUGAAGAGGACAAAAAAAAUAUGGAUGUGCCUUUGACAGAAUAAAUCAGCCUGCUUGAUUGGUGGAGGCGGUGUUCUGCACUAAGUAUGCUGUGAACCAAAUUAAUUCCAUCCUCUAUUGGGCUCUUCGUUGUGUAUAUUGGGUUGCUUGUAUAUGGGUUAAAGUGAAGUGUUCCAAUCUGGUGUGAAGUCAAGACCUUCUGUUUUUUCUUGGGUUGCUGCUUGAAACUAGGAUUGUUUGUGUCUGAUCAUAAAACUGUGAGCUGAAUUCAUUCAAGGCACGUCAGAAUUAAUUUCAUGAUCCAUAGCCAAGUAUCCAUCCAAGUUACAAGAGGACCAAGAGCAGACAGAAGAUAAAAGUCAAACCAAUUAAGCUAAAAAAUCCAACCUUGUAGACAAACAAAGAAGACGUAACAAACCCAUCAACGUAUAUGCAUCAGAGAUUUUCCUUUUAGUACAAAUUCACCCCAAAAAUUUCCAAGAAAUUAGGAAUACCCAAAAGUGAUAACAUAAGAAAACAACAACCAGAAAAAAGAAUUGGGUAUCCCUAAAAUUUUAUAAAAUAUAUCGGACAAAGAGAAAUACAUAGAAAACAACAUGAGAAUCGAAGUGGGUAUCUUCGAA